GCGGACAACGCGGGGUAAAGAGACUAAAAUACAAGAGGAAAGAAAAAGAAAGUAAGCUAGAGACAAGACAGUCAAGGUAGAAAAGAAAGACGAAAAAAGCUGCAGUAAGGUAGAGCGAAAGACACAGAAAGAAUACAAGUUUCGAAAGGCACACGUAGUCAGAAUAAAGUAGUCCGCGGGAGAAACAAAAGAGACGGAAAAGAAGAAGACGAGCUACAUACACCCCGAGAGGCAAUACGGGGAAUCAAAUUUUGUCCCUCGGCAGAGCGCGAAAUUGAGAGUAACCGAUUUAAAAUCGACCUCAUUUUCCCCACGCGCGCGACACUUACAUCCUCUCGUUAGGCAAGUGUCGGUGGCUACAUAAACGUCGUCAUCGCCGUCGUCCAAUAUCUGCUUCAAGGGCAUGCAUACGCUUCAACGAGCUGUGUAUAAUAUGGACAUUGAUGGUUUCGUGCAUUCUUUCAUUUUGAACGAAGGAUGUAUUCUAAUCAACCUUCGAGAUUCUCCUUACACAUAAACUGCAAUAACAAAAAAACUGGUGGAGUGACCGAGGGAUAAAGAGAGAAAGUGAGAAAGAUACAGCGGGCAAGCCAGAGGCGAUGCUGUAUGUCCACGGAAGUGGAAGAAUGUUAGGGAGGAAGGGUGGUGCAGAAGAAAAAAGAAAAAAAAAGAGCUAACGACUGUAUCGUGCGCACUGGCUUACACACAGCCAUAUACACUUAGGCAGGUAGAGAGCAGAGGCGCGAGGACGAGCUGUUAAAAAAAAGGCUGGCGUGGGUAGGAAAGAGCCCUCGUGAAUUUUUAUAGGAUCACCCAGCUGAGUCGUUAACACGACGCGUUUGCACCUUUUCAAAAAAGCGCGCACGCCAACGAACCGUCGCGCUGCGCGGCAACCUGCAGCUAACGCUCCCGCAUACCUGUCGUUGUCUUUCGUUUUUCCACCCACCCUGUCUAGAAUUUAUGUUGCAUGCCAAUGUGAUAAGAUGUUUUGCUCAUUUUCUAUUUUCCUCUCGUAAUUUUAUUUCAGG